AUACAGAAACCGCUGCACUCCAGCCAGACACGCAGCAGCACUACAGGGACUGAAAACUGAAGGAGCCAGAUACUAGAGGUCCAUUCAAACUGCCUACCAGCAACCCAGCUAACCACUUUUCCCAUCUUGUUGGAUUUUCUGUUUUGCCUGGCAUGACUAAAAACAUGUUAUGUACAGUUUGUUACAGUACAAUAUGCUAACUCUAAAAUAAAACCUAAACAGUGCCUACACAGUGA